rnacentral:rRNA from 1 species
UGGUCUCAACUCGGAGAUCAGUGUCGAAGCUAACGCGUUAAGUUCGCCGCCUGGGGAGUACGGUCGCAAGACUGAAACUCAAAGGAAUUGACGGGGGCCCGCACAAGCGGUGGAGUAUGUGGUUUAAUUCGAUGCAACGCGAAGAACCUUACCUGGCCUUGACAUGUCUGGAAUCCUGCAGAGAUGCGGGAGUGCCUUCGGGAAUCAGAACACAGGUGCUGCAUGGCUGUCGUCAGCUCGUGUCGUGAGAUGUUGGGUUAAGUCCCGCAACGAGCGCAACCCUUGUCCUUAGUUGCCAGCACGUAAUGGUGGGAACUCUAAGGAGACUGCCGGUGACAAACCGGAGGAAGGUGGGGAUGACGUCAAGUCCUCAUGGCCCUUACGGCCAGGGCUACACACGUACUACAAUGGUCGGUACAGAGGGUUGCAAUACCGCGAGGUGGAGCCAAUCCCAGAAAGCCGAUCCCAGUCCGGAUCGGAGUCUGCAACUCGACUCCGUGAAGUCGGAAUCGCUAGUAAUCGCGGAUCAGCUAUGCCGCGGUGAAUACGUUCCCGGGCCUUGUACACACCGCCCGUCACACCAUGGGAGUGAGUUGCUCCAGAAGCCGUUAGUCUAACCCG